rnacentral:tRNA from 1 species
CGCCGAGGUCGCGGCCCGGGCGGCCGCGCCGUCGCAGGCGGCGCAGCGGCGCGCGACGGUGCUGGCCGGUUUCAAGCCGGUGUUCGGCGA